rnacentral:ncRNA from 1 species
GGUUUGGCAUAAUCAACAGAGAAAGAAGACCUUGUUGAGAUUGACUCUAGUCCAACUUUGUGAAAUGAAUUGAGAGUUGUAGAAUAAGUGGGAAUCAUUUUUGACACAAAUGAAAUACCACUACUUUUAACAUUAUUUUACUUAUAAUUUUGUGGGGCGAAGACGGGGCAGUUACCCUAUUUUUGGCCUUAAGUCAUGUUUCGAUGGGUUGAUAUGGGCGGAAGACAUUGUAGGUGGGGAUUUUGGAUGGGGAAACACAUCUAUUAAAAGAUAACAUAAAAUAUAAUUUGUGUAGAUAGAACAUUUGUAUUUGGGAGAUCCUAGUGCACAACCACCCUUAUUACCUUUCCCUCCUAAUUUGUAGU